rnacentral:rRNA from 1 species
UACAGAGGUCUCGAGCGUUAGGCGGAAUCACUGGGCUUAAAGCGUGUGUAGGCGGAUUGCUAAGUACCUUGUGAAAUCCCACGGCUUAACCGUGGAACUGCUUGGUAUACUGGCUGUCUUGAGCCACUUAGGGGCAACCGGAACAAACGGUGGAGCGGUGAAAUGCGUAGAUAUCGUUUGGAACGCCAAUGGUGAAAAACAGGUUGCUGGGGAGUGUGCUG